GAUGAACGCUAGCGGCAGGCUUAAUACAUGCAAGUCGAGGGGCAGCAGUCCCGCAGCAAUGCGGGAGCUGGCGACCGGCAAACGGGUGCGGAACACGUACAGAACCUUCCUUCGAGCGGGGAAUAGCCCAGAGAAAUUUGGAUUAAUACCCCAUAGCAUUACGAAGUGGCACCACUUUGUAAUUAAAGAUUAUCACUCGAAGAUGGCUGUGCGGCUG
rnacentral:rRNA from 1 species